CGGACCGUAUGAAGACAGCUGAAGACUUUUCUCAAUGAUGUAAGUGGUGGUGCAUGGUCGUUCUUAGUUCGUGGAUUGAUUUGUCUGGUCUAUUCCGAUAACGAGCGAGACCCCUCCGUUCCUAAUAGGGGCGACGGCCCGGCUUGUUCGCUUGCGGACUUGCUAGCAGUCGCUUAAGAUGUACUUCUUAGACGUAUCAGAGCCGAUAAGGUUCUUGAAAUGGGUUAAUAACAGGUCAGUCAUGCCCUUAGAUGUUCUGGGCCGCACGCGCGUUACAAUGGCAUGAAUACACAGUGCCUAAAAGGGCGUAUCCGGGGCCUAACGGCUCCGGUAACCCCUAGUCCCUGCCUUGACUGGGACAGACUAUUGCAAUUAUUGGUCUCAAACGAGGAAUUUUUAGUAGUCGUAGGUCAUUAACCUGCGACGAAUGCGUCCCUGCCCUGACGGGUCGGAUCGCUCGCCCGGGAAAUACCAGGAUCUAUCGCCCCUCUAGCCUGCACGCUAUGGGUGGUGGGUCCGGGGAAAUACCGGACACCGGAUUAGUACUGGAGCCAAGGGGUCACUCUGCAAGACCUCGGGGAUCCGGGAAAAACUCGGGCUGAUUUAGUACUGUAACCCAGGAUCUUGACAUGCAGGUCUCUUCCGGGGUAUAACGGGAAACGUCGGGGGUCUUCCGAUCAAUAGGGGUAAAAAGGAGCCAGGUCAACUGGAUCCUAGUCCGAAUGCCAGAGUUCCCUGCCCGUACGGGAGUACGGGUGGAGGGCCGAGGUAGACCUCCCUGAAUCGACAGGGAUUAACGGGCGACACUAACCAAGUAGCGGGAAUCUCCUAAAAAGCACUGGAUACCAAGCUGCCCUUUUGAAAAGAGGGGUGGUGGCUCCGGAUAACAUCCGGGGGUAUGGUGAUAAAGCCAGUGCAAUAGGGGCAACCUGCGGCCAAGCCCGUAAAAGUUCCGCAAGGAACCCUAGGGUGCAGCCCCAGACCAAACGUUAGUGGGUGGUCUAGUCCGGGUAGUGCAGUACCCGGGUAGUCUGCUAGAGAUGUCGACAGACGAUAGGUGGUCUUUACUUCCUUAAAAAACGUAAGCUAAAAGCCCGGUAUAAGUGAGUUUGAAA
rnacentral:rRNA from 1 species